GAUGAACGCUGGCGGCGUGCCUAACACAUGCAAGUCGAACGGACAAAGAUGAAACCUAGUGAUUCUUUGUUAGUGGCGGACGGGUGAGUAACGCGUGGGUAACCUGCCUCACACUGGGGGAUAACAGUUAGAAAUAGCUGCUAAUACCGCAUAAGCGCACAGAGCCGCAUGGCUCGGUGUGAAAAAACUCCGGUGGUGUGAGAUGGACCCGCGUCUGAUUAGCUAGUUGGUGAGGUAACGGCCCACCAAGGCGACGAUCAGUAGCCGGCCUGAGAGGGUGACCGGCACAUUGGGACUGAGACACGGCCCAAAACUCCUACGGGAGGCAGCAGUGGGGAAUAUUGCACAAUGGGGGAAACCCUGAUGCAGCGACGCCGCGUGAGUGAAGAAGUAUUCGGUAUGUAAAGCUCUAUCAGCAGGGAAGAAAAUGAGUACCUGACUAAGAAGCCCCGG
rnacentral:rRNA from 1 species